rnacentral:tRNA from 1 species
GGGAAGGUAGCUCAGUGGUAGAGCGCUUGCCUUGAAUGCAUGAGGCCCUGAGUUCAGUCCUCAGCACCA